GUGGUGCCUAGAAAGGUUCUGCUGCACAGGUCAGUGCACCUGCUUUCCACUGGCCUGGAUUGUUGAGGUCACCUCCUGUCAUGUUUGAAUUUACCUCCUGUCAUGUUCCUGCUGUCCCUCUAGGCUCCUCAGCUCCUUGCCUAGCAACACUUGUGGCUACUGGGCCUGGUGACCCCACUUCCAGAGUGGAACAGGUACUGGGUCCCACUGACCACUGAGUACUGGGGUCCCACUAAGCCCUGGUCUUUGAUUUCCCACUCAAAUUUCCCCACACCCCAACUCCACUAGCACACUCAGGGUCUGACCCCACUUCCAGAGUGGAACAGAUAAAGAAAGGAGAAAGAAGAUGAACACUGAAAAAGGAUGAAGAGGAGAAGACAGCUGAAUGAGACUCUCUGCAUAUCAACUUGGAUCUUUCAGUUUUAGCCUUGUUACCUUGGGCAAAUUAUUUAGCUCAGUGACUCAAUUUCCUCAUCCACAAAAUGGGGCCUAUGGUAGGUACCAUUUCAUAGGAUGUGAGACUCAGAAGAGUGAACAGAUGCUAUACUUCCAUCAGUGCCUAGGAUAUAUACAAAUCUUAGACAGUUAUUUUUCAGCCCUGUGUCUAGAACUCACGUUUGUUCUUGGCCUGGUAUAUAUGGCAUCCAUCUCAUGCCUAACCUAGGGCUAAGUGCAGUUGGAGCCAUAGAGGGAUGACACAGUCUCUAGAACAUGAAACUGAGAGAUGGGAAGAAAGAUGAAAGACAUCAAAAGGGAACUGGAGAGCAAGACGGGGUGGCACACCUCUGUAAUCCCAGUACUCUGGAAGGCUGAGACAGGUUGAUCUCAAGUAUGAAAUAAACCUGGGCAACUUAGUGACUUAGGGAGAUCCUAUCUCACGAGCAAAAAAGAGGGAAAAAUUUUAAAGGAGGAGGAGCUGGGUGCCAUUAUGAGCUAAACAGGAUGGAGACCAUAGAUUCUGUCCUUUUUCAGAAUCUGGAAUCAUGCAGUAGAAGAGAGGGGAAGCUGCCUGGGUAAGAUCAAACUUUACCGUGGGCUUGACCCAUCUGGGCUGUGAUUGUCAGACAGAGAACACAGAAGGACAGAGCUGAGGCACAGACAUGGCACAGUAAUGACAAACCAGGCUACUGGUGGACAAUCAGGUUAUGAAGCAAAGAUAUUAUCUAAUUACUGACCUUGAAUAUCAACUGUAGGGGUUUGAAGGUCAGACAAUUAGCUAUGGAGAGCUGUGGAGAGUUUUGAAGCAAGAGAGCAAAAUGAUUAAAACAGGAUUAUUUCAGAAUCCAUAGGUAGAACAAUCCAGAGGGGAAUGCCCACUUCAGGAAGACCACCUAGAAUGCUCCAGCAAAACCCAGGAGUGUGGGAGAGGGGUGGAGUCAGAGUGGCUGUAAGGAGAGAAAAUGCAGGGAGCACUACAGAGGAAGGACACAGAUGAGCAAUGAGCAAACAGCUGGGGAUGGAUGCACAGAAAGGACACAGCUCAAACUGGACUGUGCAGGCCACCUGUGGUGGUAGCGAGAAGGCAGCACUGGGGAGGUGGAGGGCAGCACUGGAGAGGUGGACAGCACUGGGUCUGGGAGUGUGAGGAGCCCAGCAAUCAGCAGAGAUGUCGCUGAGCAGGUGGUGUCUGUGGCCUUCCUGGAGUACAGGACAGUUGACUAUCCUAAACAAAGUGGCUGCAUUUCAUAUGAUGCAGUGUUCUGAGUAGGAAGCCACUUAAGCCAGAGAUCUUUUCAUACUUGAAUAUUUCUGACUCCUAUUUUAUUUGUGUGGAUGUGGAUGGAGGAAGAGCUGCCCAUCAAUCUUCCCUGGUCAAAAGCAGUCUCUUUUCUGAUGGUUCAAGAAGCACCCAAAGGGAAUGUGGAAGGAACAUUCAUGAAGGUCUCACCAGCACCUAAGAACAAUACCAGCACCAAGUUAAGGACCGAGCCUGCAAAGUCUUCUGAGGAAAGUGGUAUUGACUGGUUGGGCUUCAGGAACACACAGCUCCACUUUAAAGAUGAAAGUGAUGUGCUUAGCGCUGUGUUACAUACUGCUGUAUUCCCUGGAGGGAAACCCAGGAGAUGGAGAAUCAACAUUAUUGCCAUUCACUCAACUGCUUUCUUUCUUCAAAUGUAUAAGCCAGAGAUAAUUCCUUGGGUUAUUUGCAAAACAAUACAAGAAACCCCUUGCCUACCAGCAAUUCAUCUUACAAAAAUGAAUUGAUGAAACCGUAUUUUCUGCAAAAUUUAUUAGAUGCAAAAAUUCAGGAAAAAAUCAAGGAGGUUAAGAGGAGCAAACUGCUAGGCUUAUGCAGCCCAGACUUUUAGGUCCCAAAUUUAAACAUAAAAUCUUUCCAAAGAAUUUGGCAAGUGCUCAAGCACAGGAAAAAAGCCUGGUGGAGGAUUGGCCUGGAAGGAGAAGGCUGCAGACAGUGAUAGGGUCCUCAAGGGCCUGAACGGCACGCGGAAAAGGUUCCUCAAGGAAAUGUGGAAACAGAAGACUGGGGAGAUGCAAAGCACCCAGGUAGUGGUGAAGAACAUCCCCCAAGAAAGAAGCCUUGGGAGACAGCACAGGGGAGGCUGGGGCAGCUUGGGGUGGGAGUGAAGCCCAGGAACUUGGCUGGAAACUCCUUCCACAUGGGGGACAGAGGCAGCUUCCCCCCUGAAAGGUCUGUCACUGUGCAGCUCUCGCACUCCCACACCUGCCAGAGCCCCACCUGAGGGAAGAAAUGGAGAAAGAGACUUUACCUACAGCAUUUUUGUUUUAAAACAUGCAG
ensembl:lncRNA